GGUUGAUCCCGCCGGAGGUCACUGCUAUCAGUAUUCGACUAAGCCAUGCGAGUCAAAUGUUCUUCGUGAACAUGGCGUACUGCUCAGUAACACGUGGAUAAUCUGCCCUAAGGUCAAGUAUAACUCCGGGAAACUGGUGAUAAUCCUUGAUAAAUCAUAGAUACUGGAAUGUUCUGUGAUUCAAAGCUCCGGCGCCUUAGGAUGAAUCUGCGGUCUAUCAGGUAGUAGUGGGUGUAAUGUACCUACUAGCCUACGACGGAUACGGGUUGUGAGAGCAAGAGCCCGGAGAUGGAUUCUGAGACAUGAAUCCAGGCCCUACGGGGCGCAGCAGGCGCGAAAUCUUUACAAUGCGGGAAACCGCGAUAAGGGGAUACUGAGUGCCAGCAUAUUAUGUUGGCUG
rnacentral:rRNA from 1 species